UACGUAGGGUCCGAGCGUUGUCCGGAAUUAUUGGGCGUAAAGGGCUCGUAGGCGGUCCGUCGCGUCGGGAGUGAAAACUCAGGGCUUAACCCUGAGCCUGCUUCCGAUACGGGCAGACUAGAGGUAUGCAGGGGAGAGCGGAACUCCUGGUGUAGCGGUGGAAUGCGCAGAUAUCAGGAAGAACACCAGUGGCGAAGGCGAGUCCCUGGACGAUACCUGACACUGAGGCACGAAAAGCCAAGGGAGCAAACAGG
rnacentral:rRNA from 1 species